rnacentral:rRNA from 1 species
AGUGAACGCUGGCGGUAGGCCUAACACAUGCAAGUCGAACGGCAGCACAGUAAGAGCUUGCUCUUACGGGUGGCGAGUGGCGGACGGGUGAGGAAUACAUCGGAAUCUACUUUUUCGUGGGGGAUAACGUAGGGAAACUUACGCUAAUACCGCAUACGACCUACGGGUGAAAGCAGGGGAUCUUCGGACCUUGCGCGAUUGAAUGAGCCGAUGUCGGAUUAGCUAGUUGGCGGGGUAAAGGCCCACCAAGGCGACGAUCCGUAGCUGGUCUGAGAGGAUGAUCAGCCACACUGGAACUGAGACACGGUCCAGACUCCUACGGGAGGCAGCAGUGGGGAAUAUUGGACAAUGGGCGCAAGCCUGAUCCAGCCAUACCGCGUGGGUGAAGAGGGCCUUCGGGUUGUAAAGCCCUUUUGUUGGGAAAGAAAAGCAGCAGAUUAAUACCCCGCUGUUCUGACGGUACCCAAAGAAUAAGCACCGGCUAACUUCGUG